rnacentral:rRNA from 1 species
AGAGUUUGAUCCUGGCUCAGGACGAACGCUGGCGGCGUGCUUAACACAUGCAAGUCGAACGGAGCACCCUUGAUUGAGGUUUCGGCCAAAUGAUAGGAAUGCUUAGUGGCGGACUGGUGAGUAACGCGUGAGGAACCUGCCUUUCAGAGGGGGACAACAGUUGGAAACGACUGCUAAUACCGCAUGACGCAUUUUGACCGCAUGGUCGAAAUGCCAAAGAUUUAUCGCUGAAAGAUGGCCUCGCGUCUGAUUAGCUAGUUGGUGAGAUAACGGCCCACCAAGGCGACGAUCAGUAGCCGGACUGAGAGGUUGACCGGCCACAUUGGGACUGAGAUACGGCCCAGACUCCUACGGGAGGCAGCAGUGGGGAAUAUUGGGCAAUGGGCGCAAGCCUGACCCAGCAACGCCGCGUGAAGGAAGAAGGCUUUCGGGUUGUAAACUUCUUUUAAGUGGGAAGAGUAGAAGACGGUACCACUUGAAUAAGCCACGGCUAACUACGUGCCAGCAGCCGCGGUAAUACGUAGGUGGCAAGCGUUGUCCGGAUUUACUGGGUGUAAAGGGCGUGCAGCCGGGCAUGCAAGUCAGAUGUGAAAUCUCAGGGCUUAACCCUGAAACUGCAUUUGAAACUGUAUGUCUUGAGUGCCGGAGAGGUAAUCGGAAUUCCUUGUGUAGCGGUGAAAUGCGUAGAUAUAAGGAAGAACACCAGUGGCGAAGGCGGAUUACUGGACGGUAACUGACGGUGAGGCGCGAAAGCGUGGGGAGCGAACAGGAUUAGAUACCCUGGUAGUCCACGCUGUAAACGAUGGAU